CAUAGUAAUAGCAAUGUUAGCACAAAGAUCGGCUAACUUAUUACAAUCUCUAUCCACCCAAUUAAAAAUAACAAAAUUAAAAUCUCUCAACCCAUAAGGAAUCUCCAAUUGAUUGACGUUAGCACCACCUUUGGAAUUUUUUCAACACCUUCGAAGAAGCUUUAAAAAAAACUUUAAUUUUUGUAUUAGAAAGCCGCUUUAAGAAGCAGGAAGGAAGCCGUCCCAAACGAAGCCUCAAACAGGCCAUCAAAUUGGUCUCAUGCACAUGCCCAUGGUAUUUCAUGAUGAAGGGAUCGACUUACAAGGUGAGUUUUUCCAUGGAAAUAACUGUUUUAUGCUGAAAGAAUAAGCUUGCCUCUUCUUCUAUUUGUUAGACACAUUUUGGUCGUUCUGCUAACCCCUUUGUUUUCACUUUUGACAAUUUUAUUUUCGCCGGACUCUUCAACAUGCAGGUCUGUCUUCUUGCUUAUCAGCUUUGCUUUAUGCACCGGUAGAAUCUCGGUGGAGUUUCUUUAUUUAAAUGCAUCUGAUUACGAAGGAUGUUUGUCCAGCUUCUUCAAUCAAAAUCCUUGGCCAGGUGAUUCUCCCACAUAAGUUCUUACUGGAUGUAAAAUUUGCAAAAUGAAAAUCGGCAAGGGGAUUUUAGCAUAUAUGUCUGAUGGAAUGGGGAGACCUGCAGGAAACAACAUCCUAAUUAUUUUCAGCUCAUUCAGAAAGAGGACUAGCAUCAGGUAGGGGCAUAGGGCUGUCGGAUUCGGGUCACGGGUCGGAUUCGGGUAAAUUGACUUGGCACUAUUCGUCCCGUCUUGAACCCAACCCUAUUUUCGAACCUGAACCUGAGCCACCAAGUGCUAAUCGGGUUCGUGAGUCGCCAGUUUUGUUGUUGUUCGACUUCGCUUCUUGGAUGAUGUUCCCUUCCGGUCGGAUCGGAAGUUACAACAUUUUGAUCGGAAGCAACGACGGGAGGUUGCUCGUUGUCAAGGACUCGCCCUUCGUUGUUGUUCGACUUCGCUGCUCCUUGGACAACAUUCCAUUCCGGUCGUAUCGGAAGUUACAACAUUUUGAUCAGAACCAACGAUGGGAGUUCACUCGCUAUGAAUGUCUUUCUCCGUUUCAUGUGUUUCUGCUGCCAAACCUCAUAAAUAAGCCCGAACUACAUGAUUUCGGGUCAAAAUCUAGUCAUUCUCUGGUUUUUUAGUCAACCCUAAACUUGACCCGAAAUUCGAAACGGGUCAAAAAUCCGGACCCAAAACCAACCCAUUUCGAAUUCGGGUUUACCCUAACCCGAAAAAUUUGGGUCGGAUUCGAAUCGAAUUUUCAGGUCAUGUCAAUUUUUGACACCCCUACCCUUGCAUCAUGUUUCUAUUGACUAGUUAGUGGGCCUUACUUGUCCGUAAUCACCAAUCUACGAGUCUCAAUGAAACCAUCAGCCUUCUCUCAAACAAAUUCAUUUCUUGUUUGGUAUCGAUCAAUCGUAAUUCUUGCAAACUACUUGUUUUUCUUUCAUUAUGUCAAUAAGGUGGAUAUAACAGUUUAAUGUCAUAGGCUAGAAUUCAUAAA